rnacentral:snRNA from 1 species
AUGACACGCAAAUUCGUGAAGCGUUCCAUAUUUUU